AGAAUCAACGCUGGCGGCGUGCCUAACACAUGCAAGUCGAACGAGAAAGUGGAGCAAUCCAUGAGUAAAGUGGCGCACGGGUGAGUAACACGUGACUAACCUACCUUUUAGGUGGGGGAUAACCUAGGGAACCUGGGCUAAUAUCGCAUAAUACCUACGGGUCAAAGCAGCAAUGCGCUGGAAGAGGGGGUCGCGGUCGAUUAGUUAGUUGGCAGGGUAAUGGCCUACCAAGACUGUGAUCGAUA
rnacentral:rRNA from 1 species